UACGUAGGGUGCAAGCGUUGUCCGGAAUUAUUGGGCGUAAAGAGCUCGUAGGCGGUUUGUCGCGUCUGCUGUGAAAACCUCAGGCUCAACCUGGGGCUUGCAGUGGGUACGGGCAGACUAGAGUGCGGUAGGGGUGACUGGAAUUCCUGGUGUAGCGGUGGAAUGCGCAGAUAUCAGGAGGAACACCGAUGGCGAAGGCAGGUCACUGGGCCGCAACUGACGCUGAGGAGCGAAAGCUAGGGGAGCAAACGGG
rnacentral:rRNA from 1 species